AGAAACAACACAUGCCCAUAAACCUCUUGUCUAGCAAUUACCAUCAAAGAAUGCUAAUCUGAUCGAAGUCAAGUAUUAACUGCAGUAUAGACUCUCUCAUUAAAAAAAAAUAUCCGAUUUGUAUUACAACCCCACAAAGCAUUACUAGAAGUUGGGGCACACGCGAUGCGUGUUAAGGACAAUACAAUGGAAUUCCAAUAUGGCUUCUAAUUUGUAACCGUCCAAAAAGAAUCCCACAGGUACCAAACAUCACAGUACAUCUACCCUAAUUUGUAAUUGUCCAUACAAUAGUAGAAUAGUCAAACAUACAUAAAAUAAUUGAAAUCAUAAUCUAUACGAUUGAACUUUCAAAAAUUCAUGGCAUGGGGAAAUGUAAUGUAAAUCCCUGUUGGUAACAUGGGACACAUAAAUUGGAAAUAGAAGAAACCCAACUGUAGCACGUAAAUUUUCCCGGCACACAAAAUUCUCACAAUUAUAGAGUUUUAAUCUGUCUUAUUAAGAAAAAAGAAGCCCAGUAGAGCAAUAGAAAGUAGAAAACUAAAAUAGCAAUGUAAAAAUUAAAGUAAUCAAAAUUGGAGUUGGAGUUGGAGAGAGAGAGAGAGAGAGAGAGAGAGAGAGAGUAUUUGGAUUGGUGGGAUGUGGGUAGAGAAAGACGGGCAGGGAGAGAGGAGAGAGAAGAGUCUGUACCUUUGUGGGAAAGUAGGUGUAAGUUAUUUCCCUAUUUUAGCCCUACACUUAUUUUAAUUGCAGUGACUGAUAAAGUUCAUGAAUUUUAGGUUUUGAUUUCCUCAAUUUUGAGUACAUACCAAAAAUGCUCUCCCUCUAUAAGAGAUAGAAUAUAGAUAUUGAUUCAACACAGGGAAAUGCAAAAUUUCGC